CAGGAAGUAGCUUACACCCUCAAAGCACUCAACCUACAAUUGAACCCACAUCCACCAUGGAUCUUCCUGA
rnacentral:tRNA from 1 species